rnacentral:rRNA from 1 species
UAGGGAAUCUUCCGCAAUGGGCGAAAGCCUGACGGAGCAACGCCGCGUGAGUGAUGAAGGUCUUCGGAUCGUAAAACUCUGUUAUUAGGGAAGAACAAAUGUGUAAGUAACUAUGCACGUCUUGACGGUACCUAAUCAGAAAGCCACGGCUAACUACGUGCCAGCAGCCGCGGUAAUACGUAGGUGGCAAGCGUUAUCCUGAAUUAUUGGGCGUAAAGCGCGCGUAGGCGGUUUUUUAAGUCUGAUGUGAAAGCCCACGGCUCAACCGUGGAGGGUCAUUGGAAACUGGAAAACUUGAGUGCAGAAGAGGAAAGUGGAAUUCCAUGUGUAGCGGUGAAAUGCGCAGAGAUAUGGAGGAACACCAGUGGCGAAGGCGACUUUCUGGUCUGUAACUGACGCUGAUGUGCGAAAGCGUGGGGAUCAAACAGG